GCCUGGUCCGAAGGUAGUGAGUUAUCUCAGUUGAUUGUUCACAGUCAGUUACAGAUCAAACUCCUUUUUCUAGUUUCCCUCCUUCUCACUACUGCAUUUGACUAGUCUUUA
rnacentral:Y_RNA from 1 species